rnacentral:rRNA from 2 species
CUGUCGAAGGUGGGAUCGGCGAUUGGGACGAAGUCGUAACAAGGUAGCCGUACCGGAAGGUGCGGCUGGAUCACCUCCUUU